UAGAGAAUCUUCGGCAAUGGGGGCAACCCUGACCGAGCAACGCCGCGUGAGUGAAGAAGGUUUUCGGAUCGUAAAGCUCUGUUGUAAGAGAAGAACGUGUGUGAGAGUGGAAAGUUCACACAGUGACGGUAACUUACCAGAAAGGGACGGCUAACUACGCGCCAG
rnacentral:rRNA from 1 species